rnacentral:rRNA from 1 species
GAUGAACGCUGGCGGCGUGCUUAACACAUGCAAGUCGAACGGAAAGGCCCAAGCUUGCUUGGGUACUCGAGUGGCGAACGGGUGAGUAACACGUGGGUGAUCUGCCCUGCACUUCGGGAUAAGCCUGGGAAACUGGGGCUAAUACCGGAUAGGACCACUUCUUGGAUGUUGUGGUGGAAAGUUUUUUCGGUGUGGGAUGAGCUCGCGGCCUAUCAGCUUGUUGGUGGGGUAAUGGCCUACCAAGGCGUCGACGGGUAGCCGGCCUGAGAGGGUGUACGGCCACAUUGGGACUGAGAUACGGCCCAGACUCCUACGGGAGGCAGCAGUGGGGAAUAUUGAACAAUGGGCGCAAGCCUGAUGCAGCGACGCCGCGUGGGGGAUGACGGCCUUCGGGUUGUAGACUCCUUUCGCUAGGGACGAAGCGUUUUGUGACGGUACCUGGAGAAGAAGCACCGGCUAACUACGUG